UACGGGGGAUGCAAGCGUUAUCCGGAAUGAUUGGGCGUAAAGCGUCUGUAGGUGGCUUCACAAGUCAACUGUCAAAAAUCAGGGCUUAACCUUGAGCCGGCAGUUGAAACUAUGGAGCUUGAGUUAGGUAGGGGCAGAGGGAAUUCCUAGUGUAGCGGUGAAAUGCGUAGAUAUUAGGAAGAACACCGAUCGCGAAAGCACUCUGCUGGGCUAUGACUGACACUGAGAGACGAAAGCUAAGGGAGCAAAUGGGAUUAGAUACCCCAGUAGUCUUAGCCGUAAACGAUGGAUACUAAGUUCUGGUCGAUUCAAAACCGCUCAGUUCUGUAGCUAACGCGUUAAGUAUCCCG
rnacentral:rRNA from 1 species